UUCUAGCCCCGAUAGUAACGGCUACCCCGGAGCAAGCGUUGGAUCUACGACACCCAGAGUGACAGCGUUGGCGCGAGGAGUAAUAGUGGAUAGCGGGAAAAAGC
rnacentral:sRNA from 1 species